GGUCAGGCUGAAGACCUUACCCGAUUAGCUGAGAGGUGGUGCAUGGCCGUCGUCAGUUCGUACUGUGAAGCAUCCUGUUAAGUCAGGCAACGAGCGAGACCCGCGUCCACAGUUGCCAGCAUACCCUCCGGGGUGAUGGGUACACUGUGGAGACCGCCGCUGCUAAAGCGGAGGAAGGAGUGGGCAACGGUAGGUCAGUAUGCCCCGAAUCUCCCGGGCUACACGCGGGCUACAAUGGUUGGUACAAUGGGCAUCUACCCCGAAAGGGGAAGGAAAUCUCUUAAAGCCAAUCGUAGUUCGGAUUGAGGGCUGCAACUCGCCCUCAUGAAGCUGGAAUCCGUAGUAAUCGCGUUUCAACAGAACGCGGUGAAUACGUCCCUGCUCCUU
rnacentral:rRNA from 1 species